UACGUAGGGGGCGAGCGUUGUCCGGAAUCACUGGGUGUAAAGGGUGCUCAGGCGGGUCGAUAAGUCAGAGGUGAAAUUUCACAGCUUAACUGUGAAUGUGCUUUUGAUACUGUCGGUCUAGAGUUCAGAAGAGGGCAAUGGAAUUCUUGGUGUAGCGGUGAAAUGCGUAGAUAUCAAGAAGAACACCAGUUGCGAAGGCGGUUGCCUGGUCUGUAACUGACGCUCAAGCACGAAAGCGUGGGGAUCAAACAGGAUUAGAUACCCUGGUAGUCCACGCCCUAAACGAUGAAUACUCGGUGUCGGGUCGUAAGAUUCGGUGCCUAAGCUAACGCUUUAAGUAUUCCACCUGGGGAGUACGAUCGCAAGGUUGAA
rnacentral:rRNA from 1 species